UACGUAGGGGCCGAGCGUUGUCCGGAGUUACUGGGCGUAAAGCGCGCGUAGGCGGUCCGCUAAGCCUGGCGUGAAAGCCCCCGGCUCAACCGGGGAGAGUCGCCGGGGACUGGCGGACUUGAGGACGGCAGGGGCUGGUGGAAUCCCCGGUGUAGUGGUGAAAUGCGUAGAGAUCGGGGGGAACACCCGUGGCGAAGGCGGCCAGCUGGGCCGGCCCUGACGCUGAGGCGCGAAGGCGUGGGGAGCGAACGGG
rnacentral:rRNA from 1 species